GUAGGUGGCAAGCGUUGUCCGGAAUUAUUGGGCGUAAAGCGCGCGCAGGCGGUCCUUUAAGUCUGAUGUGAAAGCCCACGGCUCAACCGUGGAGGGUCAUUGGAAACUGGGGGACUUGAGUACAGAAGAGGAAAGCGGAAUUCCAAGUGUAGCGGUGAAAUGCGUAGAGAUUUGGAGGAACACCAGUGGCGAAGGCGGCUUUCUGGUCUGUAACUGACGCUGAGGCGCGAAAGCGUGGGGAGCAAACAGGAUUAGAUACCCUGGUAGUCCACGCCGUAAACGAUGAGUGCUAAGUGUUAGGGGGUUUUCCCGCCCCCCUUAGUGCUGCAGCUAACGCAUUAAGCACUCCGCCUGGGGGAGUACGGCCGCAAGGCUG
rnacentral:rRNA from 1 species